rnacentral:tRNA from 1 species
GCUUUGAUGGUGGAAUUGGCAGACACGAUCGGCUCAAACCCGAUUAUCCACAUGGAUGUUGAGAGUUCAAGUCUCUCUCAAAGCACCA